GAUGAACGCUGGCGGCGUGCCUAAUACAUGCAAGUCGAGCGAACGGACGAGAAGCUUGCUUCUCUGAUGUUAGCGGCGGACGGGUGAGUAACACGUGGAUAACCUACCUAUAAGACUGGGAUAACUUCGGGAAACCGGAGCUAAUACCGGAUAAUAUUUUGAACCGCAUGGUUCAAAAGUGAAAGACGGUCUUGCUGUCACUUAUAGAUGGAUCCGCGCUGCAUUAGCUAGUUGGUAAGGUAACGGCUUACCAAGGCAACGAUGCAUAGCCGACCUGAGAGGGCGAUCGGCCAAACUGGAACUGAGACACGGUCCAGACUCCUACGGGAGGCAGCAGUAGGGAAUCUUCCGCAAUGGGCGAAAGCCUGACGGAGCAACGCCGCGUGAGUGAUGAAGGUCUUCGGAUCGUAAAACUCUGUUAUUAGGGAAGAACAUAUGUGUAAGUAACUGUGCACAUCUUGACGGUACCUAAUCAGAAAGCCACGGCUAACUACGUG
rnacentral:rRNA from 1 species